rnacentral:rRNA from 1 species
AGUCACUGACAUUAGAUACCCGGGUAGUCCAGGGUGUAAACGCUGCAGACUUGGUGUUGGAAGCCCUUUGGGGGCAUUCAGUGCCGGAGAGAAGUUGUUAAGUCUGCUACUUGGGAGUACGUCCGCAAGGAUGAAACUUAAAGGAAUUGGCGGGGGAGCACCGCAACGGGAGGAGCGUGCGGUUUAAUUGGAUUCAACACCGUAAAACUCACCAGGGAAGACUGUUACAUGAAGGCCGAGAUGAAGACUCUGCCAGAUUUUCAG